CGGCAGAGGCGACGCUGGUGACGGCGGUCAGCACGGAGUGAGCAGGAAAGCGAGGCCAUUUGAGCAGCAAUACCAAGAGUCCUGAGGAAUGUCACGAGUAACCGAUGCAACAGAGGAAACAAGAUGCUCUCAGACCAUAACAGGGACGAGGAGCCGCCAGGGGAGCUCUCCGAACACCAGGUGAAGGAGCAACUCGUGGAGGUGCGGCACCAAACUGUCCUUCACUGGAAUCUUAGAGGACUAAGGUCUCAUCUGGAGAAAAUUUUAGAGGAAGGGUUGCAUAUUCGUCAUGUUGUUCAGCUGACGCGCAGUCUUGUAACCUGCUGACCCGAGAACUUGGGAUCUCUUGCAUAACUGACUUACUGUUAUCUCCAUGGGAACUGUUGAGAGCAUUACUGGACUCAGUUGGUACAGAUUUUUUCAUAGACUUACGUCGACUUCGAAACCUCUUAAGUGCCAAUGCAGAGUGGCAACAACGAUACUCGUUUUGGGGAGGACUUCAAGGCCUCUACGUAGACCACAAUUAGCAGAAGGAGUUGCCACAUUCAUCGCCACUCUGCCGAUGCUCAGCUGUGUCUCUUGCUGUUUAAUUCUCCUACUCAUCUUAGAGCUCUCUCUCUGUGUGUUUUUUUGUAAGGUGUCAUUAGAUUGCUGUUAUUGCUGAUAGUAUUUUUAGGUUUUUAUUAUUUGUGAUACUUUUUAAAUUUGUUUUUGUUGUUUUUGUUGUUGUUAGUAGUGUUGUUAUUAUUAUAUUUAUUUUAGUUAUUAUUGA